UACGAAGGUGGCAAGCGUUGUUCGGAUUUACUGGGCGUAAAGGGAGCGUAGGUGGUUAGGUAAGCCCUCCGGGAAAUCUUCAGGCUUAACCUGAAAAGGUCGGGGGGGACUGCCUGGCUAGAGGACGGGAGAGGAGCGCGGAAUUCCCGGUGUAGCGGUGAAAUGCGUAGAGAUCGGGAGGAAGGCCGGUGGCGAAGGCGGCGCUCUGGACGGUGACUGACGCUGAGACGCGAAGGCGUGGGGAGCGAAGAGG
rnacentral:rRNA from 1 species